UGGGAGGCUGAACUCAGAUGAAGAGUGUAGGAGUCACAUGGACCCAACUUUCUAACUGGUGUCCAGUCGUUGUCCUCUCCUCAGUGACGCUGCGUGGACGCUGUCUCGUGUUGUUUUGUUUUAAACUUUCUUUCACAUUUUUCCUUUAAAUCGACUUUCCCUGCGUUUCCUCUCAGCAUCCAAACAUUGUUUUUCUACUUUUGGUGGACUUCCCCUGCAGAGACCUGUCGCUUCCUCUACACUACCAUGCUGCAGACUUUACAUUCUCGUCUGUGAUGUGAAAAUUUCUCCAGCUGAAGGAAAAAAGAAGGUUUGAAUGAAUUUAGUCACAAUGACGGAGGAGAGCAGAGGUGAGCACAGAGCUGAAAGCGGGAAGGACCUGGAGAAACAGCUCCGACUAAGAGUCUGCGUCCUAAAUGAACUUUUAAAGACUGAACGGGAUUAUGUUGGGACUCUGGAGUUUCUCUCGGUGUUUCUUCAUCGUCUUAACCUGUAUGCAGCAACCAAAGUCGACAAGAACAUCACAGAGGAAACCGUCAAGGCUUUAUUCUCCAACAUCGAGGAGAUCCUGGCCGUGCACAAAGACUUUCUGUCCAUGGUGGAGGAGCUGCUGCAGCCUGAUCCUCAUGCUCACCAUGAAAUUGGGCGCUGCUUCUUGCACUUUAGGGGCCGUUUCCAGAUUUACGACGAGUACUGCGGGAACCAUGAGAAGGCCCAGAGGCUGCUGCUGGAGCUGAAUAAAAUCAGGAGUGUUCGGACAUGUUUACUGAACUGCAUGUUGCUCGGAGGUAGAAAAAACACAGAGGUCCCGCUGGAAGGUUACCUGGUCGCUCCCAUUCAGAGGAUCUGCAAGUACCCGCUGCUGCUCAGAGAGCUGUUGAAAAGGACCCCAAAGAAGCACAAUGACUACGCCCUCGUGCAGGAGUCUCUGCAGGUGAUGAAGGCUGUGUGCACCAGCAUCAACGAAGCCAAGAGACAGAUGGAGAAGUUGGAGAUUCUGGAGGAGUGGCAGUCCCACAUCGAGGGCUGGGAGGGCUCCAAUAUCACAGAUACAUGCACGGAGAUGCUCAUGCACGGCGUCCUUCUGAAGAUCUCAGCUGGAAACAUUCAAGAAAGGAUUUUCUUCUUGUUUGACAAGCUUCUGGUCUACUGCAAGAAGAAAAACAGGCGUUUAAAAAACAGCAAGACGGCCACAGAGGGUCCUCGAUACCUGUUCAGGGGGAGAAUCAACACGGAGGUGAUGGAGGUGGAAAAUGUGGAUGACGGCACAGCUGACUACCACAGCAGCGGGAACAUAGUAAACAACGGCUGGAAGAUCCACAACACGGCCAAGAACAAAUGGUUCGUCUGCAUGGCCAAGACGCCGGAGGAGAAGCAGGAGUGGCUGGAGGCCAUCAUGAAAGAGAGGGAGCGCAGGAAAAACCUGAGGCUCGGCAUGGAGCAGGACACCUGGGUAAUGGUGUCUGAAAAAGGGGAGAAGCUCUACCACCUCAUGACAAAGGGCAACCUCAUUAAGGACCGGAAACGCAAGCUAACCACCUUCCCCAAGUGCUUCCUGGGAAGUGAGUUUGUGUCUUGGCUGAUGGAAAUCGGUGAGACUGGAAACCCAGAGGAAGGAGUUCACCUGGGUCAAGCUCUGCUGGAGAACGGCAUCAUCCACCACGUCACAGACAAACACCAGUUCAAGCCUGAGCCUGUGCUGUACCGCUUCCGCUACGAUGACGGCACCUACCACCCCAGGAGCGACAUGCACGAUGUCAUUUCAAAGGGUGUUCGGCUCUUCUGCCGUCUCCACAGUCUCUUUACUCCUGUCAUCAGGGAUAAGGACUACCAUUUGCGGACCUACAAAUCAGUAGUGAUGGCCAACAAGUUGAUAGACUGGCUUAUUGCACAGGGGGACUGCAGAACCAGGGAGGAGGCAUUGAUCCUGGGAGUGGAACUGUGCGAUAAUGGCUUCAUGCAUCACGUGUUGGAAAAGAGUGAAUUCAAAGAUGAGCCCCUGCUGUUUCGUUUCUUUGCCGAUGAGGAGAUGGAGGGCUCCAACACCAAACACAAACCCAUGAAGCACGACCUGAAAAUAGUCGAGAACGUCAUCUCAAAGUCCCUCCUGAUAAGGCCCAGCGAUGGAGGCUACGGCUUUACGCUGGAGGAGAGGAAUCGAGUCCCCAUCAUCAAAUCUGUGGAGAAGGGCUCUCCAGCUGAGAUGGCUGGCCUGGAAGUGGGGAAGAAGUUGUUUGCCAUCAAUGGAGAUCUGGUGUUCCUCAGGCCUUUCUCUGAAGUGGAAGUUCUCCUCAGGCAGUGCUUCAACAGCAGAGGGCCCCUCAGGGUGCUGGUUAGCACCAAGCCAAGAGAGACGGUAAAGAUCCCAGACUCGGCUGAGGGGUUGGGUUUCCAGAUUCGUGGAUUUGGUCCGUCGGUGGUUCACGCUGUCGGGAGAGGCACAGUGGCAGCCAUAGCUGGUCUCCACCCGGGCCAAUGCAUCAUCAAGGUGAACGGCAUCAAUGUGAGCAAGGAGAGCCAUGCCAGCGUCAUCGCUCAUGUCACCGCAUGCAGGAAGUACAGACGGCCCACACAGCAAGACACCAUUAAGUGGGUGUACAACAACAGUGAAAGCGCUCAGGAGGACAACCAGAAAACUAACCAGAAACCAAACUCAGAGGAAAACGGAGACGGCUUCGAGUGUAAAGUAGAAGAGGUGAUGGACAAAUUCAACACGAUAGCAAUCAUAGAUGGAAAGAAGGACCAUGUAAGUCUGACAGUAGACAAUGUCCACCUGGAGUACGGAGUGAUGUACGAGUAUGACAGCACGGCGGGAAUCAAGUGUCACGUGCUGGAAAAGAUGGUCGAACCCAAAGGAUUCUUCAGUCUCACUGCUAAGAUCCUGGAGGCACUGGCGCGUAAUGAUGACACGCUGGUGCAGAUGUGCAGCAGGUUAAGUUUCAGCUGUGAUGUGAUCCCCGAGGAGCUGCAGGUACGCUUCAGCGCCAUGUGUGGUGAGAGGAUGGAGCACAUCAACCGGCGUAUCACCAACUAUAGAAAGUUUGCUCGGGUGCUGAAGAACAGAGCAUGGCCCACCUUCAAGCAGGCGAAGGCCAAGGUGUCCCCCCUCCACAGCAGUGACUUCUGCCCUACAAACUGCCAUAUAAAUGUGAUGGAGGUCUCCUACCCGAAGACCACCACCUCUCUAGGUAGUGCCUUUGGUGUGCAGCUGGAUAACAGGAAGAACACGCUGGAGAAGGGAGCACGCAGCAGUGCAGAGCAGGGUAAGCUGAACCCCAUGGUUAACGUCCAGCACACCAUCACAACCAUGGCCGCCCCGUCGGGUCACAGCCUGGGCAGGACAGAGGGUCACGGCCUUCGCUUCCUGCUCCGAGAGGAAGACCUGCUCACGCUGGACGCCUACCAGAAACUUCUUUACAAACUCACCACGGUUGUAAAGGAGAUGGAGACACAUGGGGCCCAUAUUCAUGACCUUUUAUCCUCCAUCACCCACCCUCCAGCGUCAGAGGCGAGGACCCCCGAAAGCUACAUAUCGGCAGAAAGUGAGGGGGAGAAGGGGGAGCGGAACGGGAAGAAAGUGUGCUUUAACGUGGCGGGGGACGAGCAGGAGGACUCCGGACAUGACACAAUCAGCAACAGAGACUCAUACAGUGACUGUAACAGCAACAGAAACUCCAUCGCCUCCUUCACCAGCAUCUGCAGCAGCCACUGCAGCUCCUACGUCCACAGCGAUGAGAUGGACUCAGGUGAUGAGAUGCCCUCCAGUGUGUGGCUGUCACAUGACAAGCAGAAGAAACUCCACAGCUUCCUGGAGCAUCUGUUCAGCCAGGUGGACUCGAUCAGCAGCAUGCUGAGGGGGGCGGUGGUGGCUCGGGCCUUUGAGCAGACCAAGUGUUUCACACCUGGGAGAGGAUUACAAGAGUUUCAGCAGGAGAUGGAGCCAAAAAUAAACUGCACCAAGAAGCUGCGUCUCCACGUCAAGCAGGAUCCCUGGAACCUCCCGAGCAGCGUUCAGAGCCUCACCCAGACCAUCGCGAAAUAUGUAGAAGAGGUGAAGACACGGCUGCUCCUAGUUUUACUGCAGUAUACAGACUCAGAGAUCCAGCUGCGUCGGGAUAUGGUGUUCUGUCAGUCACUCGUUGCGGCUGUGUGUGCCUUCUCAGAGCAUCUACUGGCUGUCCUUAACCAGUUUCAUAAUAUGAGCAGGGAAUCAGACCAGGACAGCUCGGACCCUCAGGACCUCCAGGAAGCCCAGGAAGCUAGCCGCCGAUGGCUGGAGCAGAUUGCUAGUGCUGGGCUGCUCUUCCACUUCCAGUCCCUCCUCUCCCCCAAUCUGACUGACGAGCAGGCCAUGCUGGAGGACACUCAGGUGGCGCUUAUCGAUCUGGAGAAAGUCACUUUCUACUUCCAGCAAUUUGAAGGGGAGCCUCUUGUGGCAAACAUGCCCGUGUCUUACCAGGUUGAAGGCAAUCGUCAGACCUUAAAGGUUUGCUUUUACCUGGAGAGUUUCUACUUCUCCCAGCUGCCUCACAGGCUGAGGAAUGGAGGAGGUAUCAAAAUCUAUCCAGUGCUCUUCACACAAGCGCUGGAGAGUAUGGAGGGUUACUACUACAGAGACAAUGUGUCAGUGGAGGAAUACCAGGCCCAGAUCAAUGCUGCCUCACUGGAGAAGGUCAAACAGUACUACAAGAGACUGAGAUAAGCAAAUGUUCUCAGAUGGAGCAGAGUUUUUGCAGAUAAAGGGAGGCCGACUCCUCUGAGACUGAUUCUAUUAUAGUCCUGAAAGAUAAAGGUCCGAGCAGCACACUGCUGGAUUACUGAGAUUUGAUGGAGUCAGAGACUGCUGAGUUUGCACCAGUAGCCCUCCACCUCAGAUGGACUCAUUGCGGCAUAAGUCCGUCCUCUGAGUCUGCAUUAGGGACACCAGUGCAGUGCUGCCCCCAGCGGACAAAGCCGGGAAAAUCACCUCCAAAUGGGCCGUGCUCCAUGAAUGAAUGAGGCAGUGGCAUUUGGAGUGAUGCCCAGGACAAGAGAUGCUUAUUCUGUGUUUCUGCUGAGCUGUGCCCAACUUACUCUCAUGAUUGAUAGUCAGAUGUUGGAGCUCCAUUAUGAGCAGGUGGCCUAGUUUUCCCAGAAAGGCAGCCAAUGCUAUGAUGACCUAAUGAUGCAGGGAAAGUGACGCCAUAGUAUGUUCAUCAAGCAGCGGAGCCUCUGGAUAACAAACAGGCUUUCUACCUGGAUCAGUCCAACAUGCCGCCCAGCUCUGCCCCCAAAGCUGCCCUCAUAGAUAAGCUGAUGCGUCCUCUUAACGCCAUGGAGGAGCUGUACCGCCUGAUGGAGAGCUUUAUCAGUUGUCGCCGCACCGCUGCCUGUCAGUACACCGCCUGUGGGGCUUCUGGAGUGGGGCUGCUCACGGUGGCCUCUGAGCUCUGCUCGCGUCUCGGCGCCACACACAUCGUCAUGUGCAACAGUGGCGUUCAUCGCUGCACUCUGAGUGUGACACUGGAGCAAGCCAUCCUGCUGGCCCGAAACCACGGCCUGCCUCCUCGCUGCAUCAUGCAGGCCACGGAUGUCAUGAGGAAACAGGGUGCAAGAGUUCAAAAUUCUGCCAAGAAUCUGGGUGUGAGGGAUCGAACGCCAUCAUCAGUACCAAGGUUGUACAAGCUCUGCCAGCCUCCACCCCCGGAUGGUGAACCAUAAUGUGUCUUAUCUAGGAUGAUGAUGAAGAUGUCUUGAGGAGCUUUGAGCUACCUUUCACAUGUAGAAUCCUCCCUCCAGCCAUGAAGGAUCAACCUAAUGAAAGACAGUUACUGCAUCCAAUUUUGUACGUCGAGUAGCAGCCUUAAGUGUAAAUAAAGAUGUCAAACCGUAAAUAGUAUUUUUAAUACUUUAUAUUUUCCACUGUUGUACUUUAUAUGUUUUUUAAUUUGUUUUCAUAUAAUGCAUCUGACAAGACAAUGCUUUAUGGGGGGAAAUGUUGUAUGCCCUUAGAUUGCAGAAUCCCAUUACUGCGAUGUCUGCGUAUAAUGGACUGAAAAUGUUUGUUUUCAUGAGGGACAUUUGCAUUUUAUGGUUUUAGUUUCACAAGCAGAUAAAAUAAGCCUAUGUAUUGCGAUAGCAUAAGCCACCAAUUUUUUUCUGCUUUGCUUCAGCUGUAAUGUUGAUGCUUUUAUCCAUCCUCUUAGUGUUGGGUAACAUUAAUGAGUCUGUGUUUUUUAAUGUCCCUCUUUUGUCUAUUUUUAUGUAAAUAUACAUAUUUAGUGUGUGAAUGUGCUAAAAUAUCAUGCUGUCUCUUGAUUUCUAGGACUGUUACAUGCAUGCAUAUGAAGAAUUUCAAUCAGUAUUAACAUAUAGUAGAUUUAUGGAAGUCGAGAUAUGAGAUAUAUUGUUAUUUUAUGAUGACAGUACUCAGGAUUUAAGCGUCUGUGUGUUACUUAUUAAUGGAUGUAUCAUUGUAGAUGGAUGUGUAGCUCACCACUAUGCAAUGAAACAGUUAUAAAGUGAGUAAUAAACUGAAACAAUAAGCUCCAA